CUCAGAACGAACGUUGGCGGCGUGGAUGAGGCAUGCAAGUCGAACGCGAAAGCCGCAAGGCGAGUAAAGUGGCGGACGGGCGAGUAACACGUAGGUAAUCAACCCUCUGGUUGGGGAUAACACUUCGAAAGGAGUGCUAAUACCCGGUAUGGCGCAGCGGUCUUCGGAUCGCGGCGAGAAAGACCCGCAAGGGUUGCCAGAGGACGAGCCUGCGGCCCAUCAGCUAGUUGGCGAGGUAACGGCUCACCAAGGCGAAGACGGGUAGCUGGUCUGAGAGGAUGAUCAGCCACACUGGAACUGAGACACGGUCCAGACUCCUACGGGAGGCAGCAGUGGGGAAUAUUGCGCAAUGGGCGAAAGCCUGACGCAGCCACGCCGCGUGAGCGAUGAAGGCCUUCGGGUCGUAAAGCUCUGUGGGGAGAGAAGAAUAAAGCCUGUGAAGAGCAGGCCUUGACGGUAUCUCCUUAGCAAGCACCGGCUAACUCCGUG
rnacentral:rRNA from 1 species